CCGGUUGUGUCGCCAGACGCAUUGCCGGGUAGCUAAGUGCGGAAGAGAUAAGUGCUGAAAGCAUCUAAGCACGAAACUUGCCAAGAGAUGAGUUCUCCCAGAUUAUAAAUCUGUAAGGGUUGUUUAAGACUAAGACGUAGAUAGGUGCGGUGUGUAAGUGUAGUGAUACAUUGAGCUAACGCAUACUAAUUGCCCGAGAGGCUUAACUAU
rnacentral:rRNA from 1 species